rnacentral:misc_RNA from 1 species
UCCGGCUUGACGCCGGCAGUCCCCCGAGAGUCCUCAGCUUUACCUGUUAGUAACACGGGGUAAAGGUUUCGCUCGUUAAGGGACUUAACCCGACAUCUCACGACACGAGCUGACGACAGCCAUGCAGCACCUGUACCAGUUGUACCCCGAAGGGCCUACCCCACUUUCAUGGGGAUAAUCCUGGCAUGUCAAGCCCAGGUAAGGUUCUGCGCGUUGCUUCGAAUUGAACCACAUGCUCCACCGCUUGUGUGAGCCCCCGUCAAUUUCUUUGAGUUUUAGCCUUGCGACCGUACUUCCCAGGCGGUCCACUUAGCACUUUGGCUGCGACCGCAAUACCGUCAGAGGCACUGCGAUCUAGUGGACAUCGUUUACGGCCAGGACUA